AAUGGCGCUCUUCAGCGACGAGAAGUUACGGUACCUGCGAAUUUUGGGAUUGAAAUUUGACGCCACAGAAGAUGACAUAAAGAAGACCUACAAGAAACUCGCCCUACAACAUCACCCUGAUAAGUGUCAGAGUGACCCUGAAGCUACUAAAAGGUUUCAGGAACUGAGUGCAGCGUAUUAUGGGCUACAGAGACUUAAAGAGAGGGAGACACGAGCCUCCUACUGCAACUGUGACCACGCCCACUACCACCAUGGGUUUGACUUUGACUCCGACUGCAGCGACUACUAUGACUCCGAUGAUGAAUAUUCCCAGUUCUAUUUCCAAGAUGAUGAUGAGGAGCUGAUGGAUUUCUUCAGGAAGAUUUUCAUGGAUGUUUUCUCUGAGUUUGUAUUCAAGAAAAAGUUCCAGUCCAAGAGGAAGAGACCAGACACCUGCACCACAGAAGACACAGAGGAAGAGAGUUUCUUCGAAUUUCUGUCGAGGAAGUUCCGGUCCGAGGGGAGGAGCAGCACUGACGACUACAUUCUCACAGAAGAUGAUUUGAAGAAAUUCCAGUCUUAUGAUGAAUGGCAGAAAGCGAGAGACCCCAGCAAGCCUCCUAACAGAUGUAAGAGGCGAGCUGUCCAGAGAUCCAGGAAACAUCAGAAAGAGGAACAGAAGCAGAAGAACAAGAAGCAGAGGAAGAAUGAACAGAGGAGGAAGGAGAAGGAACUUCUGGAGAUCCGAGAUCAGCUUCUGAGGACUCUGGAUGAGAAAAAGGAAAAACAGAAGAAAAGACAAAACGCAGAGCCACCAAACCACAAACCCAGCAGUGAAGCAAACCACAUGAAGUCCAGAGCCACAAAAAGUCCAGAAAGACUUGAAAUUGAGAGGCAACUGGCAGAAGCUAAGAGAAAAGAACAUGAAUUACAAGAAAACUUGCGGCGUCUCGAAGCUAAGGAACAUAAGCAAGAGAAGAAACUACGCAAAUCUGAAAAAAAGAAAGCGAAAAAACAACAGACCUCAACACAAGAUGCUCCAUCGCUGCCAUCGGAACAGAGAAGCUUUCCUCACAAGACUUUCAACAACAUUGACUUUGUGGAAAGCAAAUAUGGCCAGAAAAAUAUAACCAGCACCUUUGGUAACAAACAUGCUAAGCAGAUAUCUAAGGAGGAGCGGGACAAAGGCCUGGCAGACCUGAUGGACAAGGUGAAGAGGAAACAGAGAACUUCUGAUGAUGGAGGCAGUGACGCAACAAUGCCCGACGUUACUGCUGCCAUUGAUAAAGGUCAAAAGCAGGGCUGUGUAAAUGUGAGACCGAAUGAUGCUCCUCGAUCAGCCAGAAGAAGCGACACCCCAGCUGCUGAGACCACGCCUGAAACCUCACUGCUCCACCACCAUCUGGAUGCAUACCACGAGUUGAUGAAGCUGCAACCAAGACGGCACACGGAGCAGCAACUCCGCGAGGAGAGGCUGCGCAUCAGGGAUGCUCAGCUAAGAACACAGCAAUCAGAGCUUGAGAGACUCCGUAAAAAUCCCAGUCAUGAUUUAUUCAAAGAUGACCUGCAAAUGAAGCGAGACGAACUCCUGCAGAAGCAGAGAGAAAAGGAGCGUCUGAGAAAUGAAGAAGAGGCCUUUGAACUGAAGAAAGAGGCUGAGAGGCAGCACAGUGCCCCCAUUGCCCCUGUGAGCAGGAAGUACUACGAGAGCAUUUCCUACCAUGAGAAGCAGCACAAGAUGGAGCCUCACACACCACACAGACAGACACCCAGGCGGACAACGAGAACACCCCCUCUCAUCACUACUGUGGAAAACCCCAUCAAGAGAGAGAUUCCCAACCGGCAGAGUACAUGGAGUCGUGUGGUGACCAGUGAGUCACCAUGGGGAGAGAGGACUCGGAAACAACUGGAACUGAAGACAAUGCUGCCAAGUAACAUGGACGAAGAGGAGGUGAUGCUGCAACAGGCGCUGACCCUCAGCAUUCAAACAGCUGAGCUCGACAUGCAGCAGAGAAAAUGGCAGGAACAGCUUGAACAAGCAGAGGCAGACCGGCGGAUUAUGGAAACAGCCCACUGUACAAAACCGGGCAAGAAGCAGCCAGCCAAAAGGAACAAGAACUCUUGCCUGUCAGAGCCAGCUGUUGGUUCUUCAUCUUCUAGCAUGAAGUACCCUCUAUCGGACAAGUUUUUGGUGUAUCCUGGAGCGUUUGUCAAUCAAUCAAGCCACAACUUGGAUGAAUUUGAAACCCGACCUUCAUGGUGUCUACCCCUAAAUCCAAAAUCGGAAACAAGGAAAGUGUGUAAACCAAAACCAGCUAAAAGGGACAGUUGGUCGCUCUGCCCUGGCAAACCCACGGCAGAUGACUGGAGCUACUCAAAGUCAGCUGAUACGGAGAGUACUGAUUCAGAACUUGAAGAAUAUGAGUAUGCAGUAGAAGAGAGAUGCUGUCAGUUCAAAAGCCUUGUUGGUAAUGUUCGUGCUGGUGAAUCAAGCUUGCAUGACAGCUCUUGCACAAAUACUCAGCAGGAGGGUGUUAACAGAAAUAUCAAGUCCAAUCGAAAAGCUGAUCAGGAGAAAAAGUCGCUUGAACUCAUUACAAAUACGCCUUGGCAAAAUACUAAUGAAAACUCAAAUAAUGUCAACAAAGAUGCCCGAAACCAAGUUAAAGCCAACUUUUCAAGAGACUCUUCAAGCCGCAAGGAAAGCAGUGAUGACUGGGAUGUGGAGUGUCAAUGGAAGACAGAAGGCCCGUCAUAUCCACUACUCAAGUAUAAGCCCAGGACGGAUAAUAGGAAGUCGAGGGAAAAAGUAAAUGAGAGUUCCUUACCUCCCAAGCCCCUCUCUCUGAUGCGAGAAAACUGUGAACCUUGUACUGCAGAAGGUACUGUGCAAACAGAAGAGCAGCUGACACCCAAACCCAUCCCUGUGUUGCUAGGAGACACUUUGCGUUCUACAUCAGAAAGUCCUGUGAAGACUGAUAGCCAACUGCAAAUAGAAACGGUUGGUUUAGCAAGUGUUGUCAAGAUUGAAGCUGAAACUAACACGGACUCACUGGUGGAAUCUGACCUAGUUCCAGAGAGACAUGACUGUUUCACACAAACCAAGGUCUCGUCAGGAUUUGUAGGAGGUUUUUGGGACUCUGCUUCAAACAAUGCUGACAAAAUUCCUGUUCCCAAGCAACAAAGAAAUAUUUUGGCAGAUCAAGAGGUGUUGAAACAAAUCCCUCUAAAUGGAUUUACACACUCUAAAGAGAAGGAUCUCAAAGAUAGAUCUAGUAACCGAGUGCCCCCGGUGGCGCCAGAGCCUCGCACACAGAAGCCUGAGAACUGGGAUGACAAUCACCUUGUUUCAUCCUUGGCUGAAUUAAGUGUAAAGAAUCCUGCUACAAACAGAACAGAAACUAGCAUCACUGUCAACACAGGUCAUGAAAAGACCACGAUUCCAAGACUACCUGUGAUAAUGUCUGUGUUGAACGAUAGCCAGGAGCAAGAUCAAGUGCCUGAAAGGAUGAUGACAGAUGAUCAGAAACUAAGUAACCAUCACUACAAUGUCCAGCAAGCAGAACAGACCACUCAGUCUUCAGAAAGAAAUGUCAGUGGAUCUGGACCUUCAGAACAGUCCAGUCAACCUGGUGGCCUUCCUGUCGGACUUCCUCAACAUCUUAUCCAGGCAUAUCUACAGUAUGUGGCACAAAAUGAAACCACACCAGGUCAACAGCAGCCCACACCUCAUCCAGCCCCUGCUAAUUGUGUGCAAGGUGUUGCCUCUGGCAAAUCUUCCAGCGAGAUGACACCUGGUCUUCCAUGUAAUGCACCAUCUGCAGCAUAUCCCCUGCCAGGCAAUCCUGGCUACAUACCUGCCAUGUGGUCUCACCUGUAUCCAUGGAUGGGCCCACUUAUAGCUAACCCUGUGAUGUCCCACGCCAUGAUGCCCUUCUGCCCACCUCCAGUCUUUACCUACUCCCUUCAACAACAGAUCAAGACACAGGAGUCUGGGGCUAAGGAAGUCACUUCAAACAAGCAUCAAGGGAUCGAACAGAGAAGCUCCAUCAAUCAAGUAAAUUGCCACCCUCAUGAGUGGGACUCUGGCUUUGGUCAACAAGAUCCUGUAUCCAAAUCAAGUGGCCAUCAGUCAGGACAGUGUACAAGUUCAGGGGCCAGUAUGUUAGAUACGGAUGUUGAGAAUUGCUCACCACAGCAGACCACUAGGGAUGGUGGUGGGCAACAGAUGGGAGGUGUGAGACAGGAAAAGGAGCACAUGGUUGAAGCACAUCAGGACAUUCUCAGAUGUAAUGUCAGCCAAAAGGAUCACUCACUGAACACAGGACAUGAGGAGCCAAUGAACAAGGGUGGUGUAGGGCAGCAGACGGCAAUGAAUGGAAGUGGUUUGGGACAGCAGUACAAGGGUGUACAAGGGUGGUGUAGGGCGGCAGAUGGCAAUGAAUGGAAGUGGUUUGGGACACGACAAGGGUGGUGUAGGGCAGCAGAUGGCAAUGAAUGGAAGUGGUUUGGAACAGCAGAACAGAGUGUACAAGGGUGGUUUUGGAGAGCAGAACUCGGUGAACGAGGGUGGUUUUGGACAACAAGGGAUGAAGUACUGGCUGCAACAGAAUCAACCCAGUUCUGAAGGAAAUAUGAACAACAGCAACUUGAUAAACAGAGAAAUGACGGCCCCCAUGACACACUCAGACGAACCUUGCAGCUCAAGGAGUAUGAGGCCAAACUUCCCACCAAGGUUUCAACGACAGAAGCGGUUGGAGCUGAACAAAAAAAUCAAGACCUUAAUACAGGAAAUAAACAAAGAGCAGGAAGAUUACAAAGAG
rnacentral:misc_RNA from 1 species